CCAAAUUCUGACUGUAACAUUCUGUUUUCCAUUAAAACGGCACUGUGCUGUAGAAAACAAUGCAUUCUGGGAAAUAUUUAUGAGCAGCUUGCUGUUUUCCUUAAAACAUUGCAAUAUACUGUAAACAGCAUUGCAUUCUGGGGGUGAUGUCAGAAUCAACGGCAGAGAGGUCCUGCAAAAGCGGAAUGCUACUAUAUUUGUAGAAGACGCAUGUUGAACACAAAGUCGUGAAGCCAACUCUGGACCUUUUUUAGAGGAUUAUCCAUCUGAAUCCUGCAUUUUAUCAGCAAGUCUUCGCAAUCUCCCACAGUGGUGGCGAAAGGACACUCAACCUACUUUUGACUCCUCCUCUAGUAAUGCUUGGUGAAAAAGAGCCUGUGACAGUUGGAUACUGGAUGAUCAGCCUUGAGGAUCACAUGUGGGGGCAUCCACCCAACCUUUGUGACAGGGCUUGCUGUUUACAGUGUUCACAUCUUUAACUGGGGAGCUGCCUGUACAAGAUGCUUCUUUUGAAUCAACCCAGAAAGAGGAACAAGAGCCGUGUGGGGGACUCGUCUCCAAGAGGACAGGGAGAGUCAUUCAGAAGAAAUCUGUCACAAUCAACGAGGGAGAGGUCUCUCCCCAGGUUAUUUGGAAUUUUUUCUCUUUAAUUUUGUACAUGUAAUCAUAUUCUUGUUCUCCAGUCCACUAAAUAUGCAUUAUUUUACUUCAAAAAUGUGGGUAUGCUUACUUUUUAUGUGCACAAAAGUGAACAUACUCACUUGGUACCAUACCAUACAAUGGUAUACGAUUGUAGGAUUUGAUCACUUAAGCUUUUAAAGGUUACUGUGUAUGUUAUCAGUAUCUGAGCAGACCCUAUAUCCUCCGCUUUAUUUCACUCUGUUAGAAAUUCGGGUCAGUUAUUGGAUGUAUUUACUUCAUGAAUGUCACUUCUUGAUCUUCCGUGCAAUCAAAUUGCAGAGCUCCCACCGUCUGUGCUUCACACACAAUUCCUCAGAAACCAUGUUCUAAUGACAGUGUUUAGAGGACAAUGUAUCCUGCCAUUGUAUUGUUAAUAAGUCUCCUGUUUUCUAUAGAAUGUUUUGGUUGCUGCAUUUUAUUUACCUUAAUCAUUCAGUAUACGUUGUUCAGAAUAUCACAUCAAAAUAGCGAACCAAGGUUUUGGU